rnacentral:misc_RNA from 1 species
UUUGUUGUUACUUCGUAGAAACCUUUCUAUUACUGUCUAGAAAUGAUGAUAAAAAUUUCAAAAGGGAUACUCAAUCCCUUCUAUUUUUUUUUAUUUUUUUUUUCUCUAAGAUAAUGCCUAUAUACUACUUCUUCAAAUGUCUAUAUCUCUGCUCGUGGACACUACAUUUUGUUGUAACUUCGCAGAAACCUUUCUGUUACUGUCUAGAAACGAUGAUAAAAAUUUUAAAAGGGAUACUCAAUCCCUACUAUUUUUUUUUUUCUCUAAGACAAUGCCUUUAAACUACUUCUUCAAAUGUCUAUAUCUCUGCUCGUGGACACUACAUUUUGUUGUAACUUCGUAGAAACCUUUCUAUUACUGUCUAGAAACGAUGAUAAAAAUUUCAAAAGGGAUACUCAAUCCCUUCUAUUUUUUUUUUUUUUUUUUUUCGCUAAGACAUUGCCUAUAUACUACUUCUUUAAAUGUCUAUAUCUCUGCUCGUGGACACUACAUUUUGUUGUAACUUCGUAGAAACCUUUCUAUUCCUGUCUAGAAACGAUGAUAAAAAUUUCAAAAGGGAUACUCAAUCCCUUCUAUUUUUUUUAUAUUUUUUUUUCUCUAAGACAACGCCUAUGUACCAUUUCUUCAAAUGUCUAUAUCUCUGCUCGUGGACACUACAUUUUGUUGUAACUUCGUAGAAACCUUUCUAUUACUGUCUAGAAACGAUGCUAAAAAUUUCAAAAGGGAUACUCAAUCCCUUCUAUUUUUUUUUUUUUUUUUUUUUUUUCGCUAAGACAAUGCCUAUAUACUACUUCUUUAAAUGUCUAUAUCUCUGCUCGUGGACACUACAUUUUGUUGUAACUUCGUAGAAACCUUUCUAUUACUGUCUAGAAACGAUGAUAAAAAUUUCAAAAGGGAUACUCAAUCCCUUCUAUUUUUUUUUUUAUUUUUUUUUCUCUAAGACAAUGCCUAUAUACUACUUCUUCAAAUGUCUAUAUCGCUGCUCGUGGACACUACAUUUUGUUGUAACUUCGCAGAAACCUUUCUGUUACUGUCUAGAAACGAUGAUAAAAAUUUCAAAAGGGAUGCUCAACCCCUUCUAUUUUUAUUU